rnacentral:misc_RNA from 1 species
GAUGAAGAACGUAGCGAAAUGCGAUAAGUAAUGUGAAUUGCAGAAUUCAGUGAAUCAUCGAAUCUUUGAACGCACAUUGCGCCCCUUGGUAUUCCGAGGGGCAUGCCUGUUCGAGCGUCACUAUAACCCCUCAAGCUCAGCUUGGUGUUGGGGCCUGCUGCACUGGCAGCCCUUAAAAUCAGUGGCGGCGCCAUCUGGCUCUAAGCGUAGUAAUUCUUCUCGCUAUGGAGUCCUGGUGGAUGCUUGCCAUCAACCCCCAAUUUUUCUAUGGUUGACCUCGGAUCAGGUAGGGAUACCCGCUGAACUUAAGCAUAUCAAUAAGCGGAGGA